CGCGCUCCGAGCUCAGGGAGCCUGCGACCAGUUCAAGUUCCCCACUGAUGACUGGGUCAGAAGCAGAUGACCCUCCUUCUGACCUAUCAUCAGAAAGUCAGGGGGUGCCUGGCUGGCUCAGUCCAUGGAGCGUGCAACUCUGGAUCUCGGGGUUGUGAGGUCGAGCACCACAUCAGAGAUGACCUCUGUCUCCAGCUCCCCAAGCCCUUUGAAGCAAAUGAUAAUACACCACUUUCCUUUGCAUGCUUGACUGCUCUCUCUAAAAGUGGGAAAAGUAGCAACUUCAGCUAGAAGGUGCCGAUCCUAAGAGCAUUCUAACAAAUGUUCUACACUCGUAAGUCCAUCUCAGAUUGCGCUUCUUGAAAAGCCACCUACGACACCUUCUCGAUCACAAAUGGAAAUCUUUGAUGAUGUACUUUUGAGUAUGGUUCAUGCUGGAAAGAAAAAGGAUGGAUUCAAACUAAAAAAAAGAAAAAAAAUUGGCCCAACAUCAGAAGAUUGGAAAAUGAAUAUACAUUUAUAUGUUUUGAGUUAGAACAAAAUAUUCAAGAUGACCCUUGGCACCAAUUAGCUACUGUCAUCCGUGUGGAAGGAAGUCUGCUCUGUAAAAUCAUUGGAUCCUAUUUAUGUUGAGUACAACUGACCUUCAGGAGAAAUGUUUCCGAAGAGACAAGAAACUGUCUUCUGGUUUUGGCUCUGUUGGCUGUGCACACCUGUUUUGCUCACUCAUUGAAUUCUGUUGGAACAUUGGAACUCUACCUUUUUGGAGCUCUGGCAGAGAUCUCAAAGGAAGGAAAUUUGGCAGGGUGGAGAAAAACGUGGGUUUUGAAGAUGGGAAGACCUGGUUUUUGAUGUUGUCUCUGCUAGGUACAUCACAAGAGUGUUAGUGAUGAGUAGAAUUAGUGAUGAUGUGUGAUGUGUCCGGCAACUUUUUUUUUUAGCAUGAGGUAGAAGCCCAAUAGGAGGUAGCUAUUAUGAAAAAUAGUCUCAUUUCUCCCAUUUCACCUCCCUGAUCUUGCAGUUUUAGCUCCAUUCAUUCAGAAGUCAUAAGUGGCUUGAUUAUCUCUCAUUUCCCUCAUUUGACUGUGGCUGUGGGAGAAUGAAUGGACAAUGGAAAAGGGUGAGAAAAACUGUGAAGGACAAUGGGAUAGUAGCAGACUCUUAGCGGUAUAUUCGUUAAGACAGACUUUUCGAAGGCUUCUCACAUAGGGAAGUAUGUUUAAUUUAACCCAGCAAACACUUGUGUUCCUCAUACAUUUAUUAUUCUGAUCACAUGGAUAAGGGGUCACCAUGAUUAUCACAAGCUUGGGUGAAGCUUUCCUAUGCUGCUUUGAGGAAGGAGCCUUGACCUGGUUAAAGUGAAUCUACUUUGAUAAAUCAAAAACAUUUAUUAAAAAAGAUACUCUACUUCCAAGGAUCUUUUCCAUCAACUUGCUUUUCUUGGUUGCCUAUCACAUGGCUACAUCAUUUUUAGACACCAAAUGAAAAGCAUGUGUAACAGAGCACAGAACUGCACUUCUGGUCCAUGUUACCAUGGGUAACGUCCAAUAUGAAAAAUGGGCUUUCUUGCAGUAGAACACACCACUUUAAUUAUUACAUGCAGUAUGGAAACAUGAAUAUUUAUACAAUUAGAAACUUGGAAACAUUGCACAAAUUCUUUCUAGUUGGACCCUUACAUAGACACUUUCCUCGCAAUCUGCUCUAUAAACGUAGACCAAAGAUGAAAUAUUGUGGCAGCCCUAAAUUCACUGGUUCUAGAAAGAAAUGCUAUAAAAUUGGUCCCAUGAAAUAAAAUUGUUAGCACAGAGU